GAUGAACGCUGGCGGCGUGCUUAACACAUGCAAGUCGAACGGAAAGGCCCUGCUCUUGUGGGGUGCUCGAGAGGCGAACGGGUGAGUAACACGCGAGUAACCUGCCCUUGACUUUGGGAUAACUUCAGGGAACUGGGGCUAAUACCGGAUAGGAGCUCCUGCUGCAUGGUGUGGGUUGGAAAGUUUCGGCGGUUGGGGAUGGACUCGCGGCUUAUCAGCUUGUUGGUGGGGUAGUGGCUUACCAAGGCUUUGACGGGUAGCCGGCCUGGGAGGGUAACCGGCCACAUUGGGACUGAGAUACGGCCCAGACUCGUACGGGAGGCAGCGGUGGGGAGUAUUGCACAAUGGGCGGAAGCCAGAUGCGGCAGCGCAGCGUGCGGGAUAACGGCCUUCGGGUUGUAAACCGCUUUCGCCUGUGACGAGGCGUGAGUGACGGUAAUGGAUAAAGAAGCACCGGCUAACUACGUG
rnacentral:rRNA from 1 species